GAUGAACGCUGGCGGCGUGCCUAAUACAUGCAAGUCGAGCGAACAGAUGAGGAGCUUGCUCCUCUGACGUUAGCGGCGGACGGGUGAGUAACACGUGGAUAACCUACCUAUAAGACUGGGAUAACUUCGGGAAACCGGAGCUAAUACCGGAUAAUAUAUUGAACCGCAUGGUUCAAUAGUGAAAGACGGUUUUGCUGUCACUUAUAGAUGGAUCCACGCCGCAUUAGCUAGUUGGUAAGGUAACGGCUUACCAAGGCAACGAUGCGUAGCCGACCUGAGAGGGUGAUCGGCCACACUGGAACUGAGACACGGUCCAGACUCCUACGGGAGGCAGCAGUAGGGAAUCUUCCGCAAUGGGCGAAAGCCUGACGGAGCAACGCCGCGUGAGUGAUGAAGGUCUUCGGAUCGUAAAACUCUGUUAUUGGGGAAGAACAAAUGUGUAAGUAACUAUGCACGUCUUGACGGUACCUAAUCAGAAAGCCACGGCUAACUACGUG
rnacentral:rRNA from 1 species